rnacentral:rRNA from 1 species
CGCGCGUAGGUGGCCAAUUAAGUCAAAUGUGAAAUCCCCGAGCUUAACUUGGGAAUUGCAUUCGAUACUGGUUGGCUAGAGUAUGGGAGAGGAUGGUAGAAUUCCAGGUGUAGCGGUGAAAUGCGUAGAGAUCUGGAGGAAUACCGAUGGCGAAGGCAGCCAUCUGGCCUAAUACUGACACUGAGGUGCGAAAGCAUGGGGAGCAAACAGGAUUAGAUACCCUGGUAGUCCAUGCCGUAAACGAUGUCUACUAGCCGUUGGGGCCUUUGAGGCUUUAGUGGCGCAGCUAACGCGAUAAGUAGACCGCCUGGGGAGUACGGUCGCAAGACUAAAACUCAAAUGAAUUGACGGGGGCCCGCACAAGCGGUGGAGCAUGUGGUUUAAUUCGAUGCAACGCGAAGAACCUUACCUGGUCUUGACAUAGUAAGAACUUUCCAGAGAUGGAUUGGUGCCUUCGGGAACUUACAUACAGGUGCUGCAUGGCUGUCGUCAGCUCGUGUCGUGAGAUGUUGGGUUAAGUCCCGCAACGAGCGCAACCCUUUUCCUUAUUUGCCAGCGGGUUAAGCCGGGAACUUUAAGGAUACUGCCAGUGACAAACUGGAGGAAGGCGGGGACGACGUCAAGUCAUCAUGGCCCUUACGACCAGGGCUACACACGUGCUACAAUGGUCGGUACAAAGGGUUGCUACCUCGCGAGAGGAUG